rnacentral:rRNA from 1 species
GACAGCAGCAGCCGCGGUAAAACGAAGGGUGCAAGCGUUACUCGGAAUUACUGGGCGUAAAGCGUGCGUAGGUGGUGGUUUAAGUCCGUUGUGAAAGCCCUGGGCUCAACCUGGGAAUUGCAGUGGAUACUGGAUCACUAGAGUGUGGUAGAGGAUAGUGGAAUUUCCGGUGUAGCAGUGAAAUGCGUAGAGAUUGGAAGGAACAUCUGUGGCGAAGGCGACUAUCUGGGCCAACACUGACACUGAGGCACGAAAGCGUGGGGAGCAAACAGGAUUAGAUACCCCUGUAGUCCCUGUCUCUUAUAC